ACAAAACCUACUGAUGUGGGUACCCAAGCAGGAACCCCCCUCUUGCACCGGCGACUCACGUGGGAAGAAGAAUUCACUGAGCUGAAAUGGAGUGAGAGCUAAGAUGCUCUCAGAAUAUUCUUAAAAUGACUGUGCUGCAAAGAAGCCCGGGUGAAUAGAAGAAAAUAGAAGGAAUGGUGGAUACAAGUGAAGGUUAAAAUGAGACCCCAUUUAUCGCACCAGCUGUUGGUGAUUUCAGCGCACCUUUCCAAGCCUCUUGAGAGUUCUGCUCUAACCACACUGCCCCCUAGUGUUCUCUCGCUUUGGUGCAACGUUUCUCAUACUUCCGGAGAAAUAGAAAGCACCAGAUGACAGCCACCACACACUUUUGUCCCCAUUGCAAUAGGAUGCUUCUAACAAUCGUAAAAUUAUGAAACACUGAAUUCCUUAAAAGUUGUCCAUUUGUGGAUUUAUCUGAUGGUAACUAUUAAAUAUUUAAAAGUAACUUUAAUGAAUCUACUUAUGAUGAUUGAGUAAUCUAUUCUCUGAAUUCCACCAAAAAACCAUUUUAUGACCACAGUCAUAACGAACAUAUUUCUAUAGUCCUAAGCUGGCAAGAUAAAUAGAGAACAGUUCAUAAUAUAAACAAUAUAUUUAUUUAUUCCUAAACUAAUAAGAUGACUAUCAAUCUGUAAGAGACUAUGAAAAUCAAUACCGUAUACUUGGUAUAGUUGGUGAGAAUUUCAGGAGCAUGUUUGUUCUUUUAUUUGUGUUU
rnacentral:lncRNA from 1 species